GUAGGUGAACCUGCGGAGGGAUCAUUACUGAAUGGCCUCUGGGCCUUCAACCUUGCAAACCUGUGGAAGCGAGACGUGCUUCGGCGCCCCGGCGCCGCCUUUAUGCAUCGAAUCGGUCUUUGUGUCUGAAUCAAAAUACAAGGAAUAAAACUUUCAACAAAGGAUCUCUUGGCUCUCGCAUCGAUGAAGAACGCAGCAUCUGACUGACUCGACAGCUG
rnacentral:misc_RNA from 1 species